UACGAAGGGGGCUAGCGUUGUUCGGAAUUACUGGGCGUAAAGCGUGCGCAGGCGGCUUCUCAAGUCAGGGGUGAAAGCCCAGAGCUCAACUCUGGAAUUGCCUUUGAGACUGAGUGGCUUGAGUACGAGAGAGGUGAGUGGAAUUCCCAGUGCAGAGGUGAAAUUCGUAGAUAUUGGGAAGAACACCGGUGGCGAAGGCGGCUCACUGGCUCGUAACUGACGCUCAUGCACGACAGCGUGGGGAUCAAACAGG
rnacentral:rRNA from 1 species